GCCUUAGUAGCGGCGAGUGAAGCGGCAAAAGCUCAAAUUUGAAAUCUGGCACUUUCAGUGUCCGAGUUGUAAUUUGAAGAAGGUAUCUUUGGGUCUGGCUCUUGUCUAUGUUUCUUGGAACAGAACGUCACAGAGGGUGAGAAUCCCGUGCGAUGAGAUGUCCCAGACCUAUGUAAAGUUCCUUCGAAGAGUCGAGUUGUUUGGGAAUGCAGCUCUAAGUGGGUGGUAAAUUCCAUCUAAAGCUAAAUAUUGGCGAGAGACCGAUAGCGAACAAGUACAGUGAUGGAAAGAUGAAAAGAACUUUGAAAAGAGAGUGAAAAAGUACGUGAAAUUGUUGAAAGGGAAGGGCUUGAGAUCAGACUUGGUAUUUUGUAUGUUACUCUCUCGGGGGUGGCCUCUACAGUUUACCGGGCCAGCAUCAGUUUGAGCGGUAGGAUAAGUGCAAAGAAAUGUGGCACUGCUUCGGUAGUGUGUUAUAGUCUUUGUCGAUACUGCCAGCUUAGACUGAGGACUGCGGCUUCGGCCUAGGAUGUUGGCAUAAUGAUCUUAAGUCGCCCGUCUUGAAACACGGACCAAGGAGUCUAACGUCUAUGCGAGUGUUUGGGUGUAAAACCCGUACGCGUAAUGAAAGUGAACGUAGGUAGGACCUCCUUUAGGAGUGCACUAUCGA
rnacentral:rRNA from 1 species